rnacentral:tRNA from 1 species
GGAAGGGUGCGAGAGCGGCUGAAUCGGCGCGACUGGAAAUCGCGUAGGGUCGCAAGAUCCUCGAGGGUUCAAAUCCCUCCCCUUCCG